rnacentral:tRNA from 1 species
GCGCCCGUGGCGGAAUCGGUAGACGCUGCGGACUUAAAAUCCGUUGACCUUUGGUCGUGGGGGUUCAAGUCCCCCCGGGCGCACCA